GCCUGCCCAGUGACCCUGUUUAACGGCCGCGGUAUCCUAACCGUGCGAAGGUAGCGUAAUCACUUGUUCUCUAAAUGCGGACUAGUAUGAACGGCAUCACGAGGGUUAUACUGUCUCCUUUUUUUAAUCAGUGAAACUAAUCCCCCCGUGAAGAGGCGGGGAUAAAACUAUAAGACGAGAAGACCCUAUGGAGCUUUAAACAAUAUAGCACUUGCCUUUUAACAUAAAAUUUCCGAAUCUCACUCCAAAGCGAUAUGACUAUAAGUUUUUGGUUGGGGUGACCGCGGAGCAAAAUUUAACCUCCAUGUUGAAAGAAUUUAAGCUAAGAAUCACUCUUCUAAGCAUCAACAUAUUGACAUUAAUUGACCCAAUACAUUUGAACAACGAACCAAGUUACCCUAGGGAUAACAGCGCA
rnacentral:rRNA from 1 species